UUAUGGUCGCGGCGGGUAAGGAGGUAUGCGAGAAUGUCCCGUUCAAAUGUUUCUGGCGGCAGCAUGUAAUCGUAAAAAUUGAUCCGUUCGGCGGAAGUAUCGAGAAAAAGAGCAGUGCGUUUUGAACAUGAUUGAACAACGCAAAUAGAACGCGAAUAGUCCGCUUGAAGAAUGUUUCUCGUCGUUGCGAACAACGAUAUGGAUUGCGAACAGUUUUUGAUAUUAUGGACAAUGCCAUUAUGAAGCGGCUUCCUAGGAGGACGACGUGCUGUUUUCAUCAUCGG